UCCAACUUGAGAGUUUGAUCCUGGCUCAGAGCGAACGCUGGCGGCAGGCUUAACACAUGCAAGUCGAACGGGC
rnacentral:rRNA from 1 species